CCCAGUCAGAAAAGACCUGGUAACUCCCUGGAGAAUCACUGGUCAGAGUGAUUGCAGCAACAAUCAAAAUACUCACCCAAGAAGAAUCUAGUUUGCUUCUGCCUCAGUUUCCUCCCUUUUUCACAUUUUUUUUUUCAUGUAGGCCCUCAGCCUGUGAGAUUGUGUCACCCACAUUCAGAGCAGGUCUCCCUGCUUCAGUCUGCUGUCCCACAUGCCAAUUAUCUCAAGAACACCUUCAUCACCACAGCCAGAACUCUCUUCGUCCAAUCAAGUUAACAUCCAGAUUGACCAUCACACACACACCAUUUCCUGCUCUCCUGGUCCACUUUCCACACUGCAAGUUACAUGAUGCAUUUAGAGCAUAACUUGAGCACCCAUUAUUUAAAAUUUACCAAUUACUUCCCGUGACUCUUAUCAUAAUUACCCAAAUCAUUAUAGGGGAUGACUUAGGAUGUUUUGGGAGGCAAAAGUUAGAAAAAAAAAGGGAUCUAUCCAUGUAAAGAAUGACUUAAACAACAAGAGCAUUUAUGAUCUUACAUAAAAGUGCAGAAAUAAGAAAUGCAUGUGUUUAGUUCAAUAACGCCACCAAGAACGUAAAUUCCCUCCAGCUUCCCUAUCAUCCUCAAGUUGGCUUUUCCCUCUAAUCGCCUCCUCCGGGGUCACAGAUGUCUGCAGGAGCUCCACGGACACAGCAGUGCUUGGAGCCAGAUGAGGGAAAGUACCUUACUACGUCCCCCUUUGAAGUCUAGAAAACAUAUCAGGGAAUCUCUGUGCCCACCCCCAACCUCUCUCCUACUGGACUCAACUCACAUCCUCAAGGAGAAUGACUUGUCAUGACUGGACUAAGGAAGAUUCAUCUCCUUAGGGGUUGAGGUGGGGUCAAAUUCACCUUAAAUCUCAAGGUCACUUCCUAGCUGCACAACACUGAGGUUUCAGUAUCAAGAAAGAAGGAACAUCAGGGUGGUUAACCAACAAUGUCUCUGGUAUGUGUUGCAGGACCCACAGGAACUGCCCAGCUCUCCUUCACUCCCAAUAGGCUCUACUCCCCGCUGAGGUCAACCAGCCACCCCCACACAUGGGUGCAGAUCACCUCUUGGAGUUGGAGACAUCGACAUCGCUUCAUCUGCAGAAUCAGCAAGACCAAGGCUAUCCAUCUCUUGAUGAUUGGAAUGGACACAUACCCUUGUCCUGCACAAUCAGACCACUGAGCCUCUGGCUGUGACUGUUGAAGAUGGCAGGGCACGUGACCCAAGCAGGCCCAGACUUGACAGAGGACCACAGGAAGACUGAGAAGGAAGCCAAUGUAGGAAUGGAAAUGAGAAAGGAAGAGGGACUGGGCCUGGUGAAUUUUUUUAUGACGCUACCUGAAGGGUCUGACUUAGUUACUAAGGACCUCAAAUUGCAAGGCUGCCUUUGAACUUUCAAUCCUCCUGCCUCAGCCUCCUGAGUAGCUGGGAUUACAGGUUUGUACCACCACACACGGCUGUGUACAGGUUUUCUCCAGUCACAGGAGCAUGGUGGGCUCCCAUAGGACACAAGCCUAUCAACAAAGGACAAAUGCUAGUACAAGAUCAGCAUUCUCGCCCCUCAGAUGGAAUGAGGCCAAGCUGUUCUACACAGUAUGCAAGAGGUCCCCAGUGGACAAGUGAUAUCCUGCAUGUCAUGCUAGGCCUUGGCCCCCUUCCCUUCUCUAUCUCAAUUCCUCUUUCCUCCCCUGCUAGUUGCUGGAAUCAGCUUACCAAUAAACAACAUUCACUUAAA